ACGCCAGUCCCCCUGCUCACGCCGCGCCCGCUCACGCCGCGCCCCCGCUGGCACGCAACUUCCGACUUUCAGACAUGUACGGUUUGUUUACAAGACGCAGAUGGACCAUAUUGCCAUAUUGAGUCAUGGCGGCAACAACUCCCGGGAAGCACCUGUGACUUAGCUCAUCACAUUGCUCUGGGCCAGUGGACAACUAAAUUUGGCAAAGACAUUGAGGUGCAUCUCUCCAACAACUUAUGUACCUGGAUGCACAUGUCUAUAUUUCUGAUUUGACCCAAAAACUUUUAUAUUGCUUAUUUAACACUUUGCCCAAUUGUUGCAGGGUUUCCCUCAUCAAACUACUGUAAAUUCUUGUGGCAUCUUAAUAUUGAUGGUAAAUUGCUUUUUAGUCUCUGAUUAAAGGUUUUUGGUUUUUUUUUAUUAUCUGAAAAUGAUAUAACCUCACAGAUCUUUGCCUUUUACACUUUACAGUAUGCACUCAGCCUGAGCACAGAGGCUCCAUUUUGGUUCAUUAUUGUUCUUCUCACAUAGGAGCAAGUAUAAGAGGAACUUAAAUCCACCCUAACAUGACAUUGACUUUGGUUAAUUGUUUACAAUUUCCAGAAGUCUAACUAAGCAUGAUCUAUAAAGUACUUUGCACUACAGUAUUAACCACACAUCAAAGAACUGUUUGUGGGACUAUUUAACAUGGCUCUAUAACUUUUUGUACUCUGCUGUAAUUGACAUGCCAAUGGUUUGCAGACAAAUAGUGAUUUGUGACUGAACAUGAACAUUCCUCCUCAACUUAAAUAUUCUAUUUCUUUUAGAGGGACAUGGCACGCAUCCGAAAAUGGUGGUGCAUUAGUCUAAUGGAACGGUUCCAGACUGACGGCCAUGGACAGAGGUUUGCAUACUGGACUAAUGAGGCCAGAGCAUUGCUCCAAGGUUCACUGCAGCCGAUAUACAGGGUCCCAAAGGUCAGCAAGAGGGAACAUGAG